UACAGAGGGUGCGAGCGUUAAUCGGAAUUACUGGGCGUAAAGCGCACGUAGGCGGCUUGGUAUGUCGGGUGUGAAAUCCCCGGGCUCAACCUGGGAACUGCAUCCGAAACUGCCUUGCUCGAGUAUGGGAGAGGGAAGUGGAAUUUCCGGUGUAGCGGUGAAAUGCGUAGAUAUCGGAAAGAACACCAACGGCGAAAGCACUCUGCUGGGCCGACACUGACACUGAGAGACGAAAGCUAGGGGAGCGAAUGGG
rnacentral:rRNA from 1 species